rnacentral:rRNA from 1 species
AACGCGAAGAACCUUACCCAGGCUCGAAAUGUAAUGGGCGAUAUCAGAGAUGAUAUUUUCCGCAAGGACUAUUAUAUAGGUGCUGCAUGGCUGUCGUCAGCUCGUGCCGUGAGGUGUUGGGUUAAGUCCCGCAACGAGCGCAACCCUUAUCAUUAGUUGCCAACACGCGAGGUGGGGACUCUAAUGAGACUGCCUGGGUUAACCAGGAGGAAGGUGAGGAUGACGUCAAGUCCGCAUGGCCUUUAUGUCUGGGGCUACACACGUGCUACAAUGGUCGGUACAGAAGGCAGCAAGACCGUAAGGUGGAGCAAAUCCGAAAAGCCGAUCACAGUUCAGAUUGUAGUCUGCAACUCGACUACAUGAAGUUGGAAUUGCUAGUAAUGACGUGUCAGCAACAACGUCGUGAAUACGUUCCCGGGCCUUGUA